GCCAGCCCCAGUCUGCGGCCUGUGUUUCGGGAGCUGUGGGGUAGGCGAGCUGUUUUGAGGACAGACGGGGCGGAGAGCGGAAACAGAACGCUGAGGACCCUCUCCCGGCUUAGCCCACAGGGAGGGCGGCAACCCUGGACCAAAGCUUUUCCUCACGCCUAAGGUGGAAGCGAGGACGCGGAGCCGGGAAGCCGCGGUGGGAUGCGGCUGACGCGGACCCGGCUCUGCUCGCUCCUCGUCGCCCUGUACUGCCUCUUCUCCAUCUACGCCGCCUACCACGUCUUCUUCGGGCGCCGCCGCCGGCCGCCGGGCGCGACCUCUCGGGGCUCCAGGAAGACAGCGGCGCAAGCGAAGGAGAGGCGCGGCCGAGUCCGCGUUGGAGAGUGAAGAAUGGAAUCCUUGGGAAGGAGAUGAAAAAAACGAGCAGCAACACAGAAUUAAAACUGGCCUGCAAAUCUUAAACAAAUCCACAAAAGAAAAAAUAGAGCAUCGUGUGCAAAUCUGGGGCAAAGCUGCCAUCGGUCUCUAUCUCUGGGAACAUGUUUUUGAAGGCACUCUCGCUCCUGCUGAUGUGACUGCUCAGUGGAGGGAAGGACAGUCAGUUGUAGGAAGAACACAUUACAGCUUCAUCACUGGCCCAGCUGUAGUUCCCGGGUACUUCUCCAUAGAUGUGGACAAUGUGGUCCUUGUUUUAAAUGGAAGAGAAAAAGCAAAGAUCUUCCAUGCCACCCAGUGGUUAACUUAUGCCCAGAAUUUAAUACAAACCCAAAAACU
rnacentral:lncRNA from 1 species